rnacentral:rRNA from 1 species
UACGGGGGGGGGCAAGCGUUGUUCGGAAUUACUGGGCGUAAAGGGCUCGUAGGCGGCCAACUAAGUCAGACGUGAAAUCCCUCGGCUUAACCGGGGAACUGCGUCUGAUACUGGAUGGCUUGAGUUUGGGAGAGGGAUGCGGAAUUCCAGGUGUAGCGGUGAAAUGCGUAGAUAUCUGGAGGAACACCGGUGGCGAAGGCGGCAUCCUGGGACCAACACUGACGCUGAGGAGCGAAAGCCAGGGGGAGCAAAACGGG